rnacentral:rRNA from 1 species
GGAUGCGAUCAUACCAGCACUAAAGCACCGGAUCCCAUCAGAACUCCGUAGUUAAGCGUGUUUGGGCGAGAGUAGUACUAGGAUGGGUGACCUCCUGGGAAGUCCUCGUGUUUCAUUCC